rnacentral:lncRNA from 1 species
AUUAGAAAAGUUGUUCCAAAUAUAAUGAAUUUUUCUCCUGUUAAAAUCAUGGUAUACUGUUGUCCGCCUGUCCAGACAUAUCGAAAACGCUUAAACCAAUUUUAAUAAACUUUGAAUUGUUUAUAUCUUUGAUAUUCAUGUUCACAGAAAAGUCCUCCAACAAAGAGAAAAGGUUUUAAAAAAUUGAAGACAGAAGAAGCAUCAGAAAGUUAAAGACUUGAAGAAACAAAGUCAAUGUAAGUAAGAUUAAAUGAUUUUGCUGCUGUUGGGGUUUCCUCAAAGUAGCUGGUUGCCUCCAAAUGAGAUGUCAGUCAUGGAUGUUGAGAAAAACAUGCAUGAAUGUCAAAUGCACUUGGUCUACAACAUUGUACAGCAAAGAAAUCUUUUUUUUUUUUUUUUUUUUUUUAAUUCCAAUUCUACCAAGGAGGACAGAAGAAGCAGCUAAAGACUUGGAAGAAAUAAAGGUAAUGUAAGUAAACUGAUUUAAUAGAGAUAUGUUUGGUUGGCUUUUUAUAAGUUAUGUAAGUGAAAAUGGGUUUGGUUUGUAAAAUGAAAACAUAAUUAUUUGCAGUGUUUUAUUUCAAAUUUAAAAUCAACACAGAGCAAAUAUAUUCGAAUUCUUUUCAUUUUUUUGUAUAUUGAAUGCAUCGUGAUAGAUUGUAAAACAUUUAAUUGAAACUGAUUUAAACAGUUGAAUAAAAUAAAUUUUGCUCUUUUAAUUUUCAUAAAAUUUUGACAAAA